AUACGAAGGUCCCAAGCGUUAUUCGGAAUCACUGGGCGUAAAGGGUACGUAGGCGGUUUGGUAAGUCAGGUGUGAAAUCCCGAAGCUCAACUUCGGAACUGCAUCCGAUACUGCCAGACUAGAGUAAUGGAGAGGCAGGUGGAAUUCUCGGUGUAGCAGUGAAAUGCGUGGAUAUCGAGAGGAAGACCAAUGGCGAAGGCAGCCUGCUGGACAUUUACUGACGCUGAGGUACGAAGGCUAGGGGAGCGAAAGGGAUUAGAAACCCCGGUAGUCC
rnacentral:rRNA from 1 species